UGGUAGGUACAACACAACCAUCUACUAGCCUAACACAUAACACACAGCUGUCUGUGCGGGUCGCUACAAUACAGAUUUGCACCCUGCUGCCUGCCGUGCCUUUAGCUAGCUAGCUACUGCUUUAGUAGGACUAGAAGUUAUAACUGUUAAAACAGUAAUGUUAACUAUAGGGUUACUUGCUUGCUGUUGAGCGACAACUGCAUAUGUAAAUUAGCCUAGUUACUUGUUGUAAAUACCAGGGCUUGUGUUCAAACUGUUGCAGGGUCUGAUGACAAUACCAGGCAUUUAAUUCAGCGGCAAACACGGCAGGAGAAAUGCCGCAAAAAAAGGUUGAGAUCUACUUUAUGAAUUGUGAGCUGAAGGGGCAACUGUCACCUGCAUGGGUGAAAAAGAAGUGGGAGAACCAUAAGUAAAAAUAUAUGGAGUUGAAAGCUCCCACGGAGUGAGGGGAGGCCACAGCCACAUCCUGGAAGUGAUAUAUGGUGAUGGAUGAGGCGCUGGGGGGCUGCCACUCCAUCACCCCAAUGGUCAUCAUCUCCCUUCCAGAAGGGUCCAGAUGUGGACGCUGGAAAAGGAGCGGGAGGUGACUGCUAGGGAAGCACGACUUAUGGACAUUUGAGGCCAUGAUUAAGAAGUAGUUUUAUGUAUUUUGUAAAGUUUGGUGAAGUACUUUUAUUUGUAUUAAUUUUUUAAAAGUGAAUUGCUGUUCUCCUCAAAGUGUUUCUAGUUGGUAAUAAAACAACAUAUUUG